AUACCUUUCUCGGUCUUUUGGCUAAGAUAAAGUUUAGUAUUUGUUCUUAUCAGUUUAAUAUCUGAUAUGUGAGUCAUUGACUCACAGUCUAUUAACUCUAUUUUUGGAGGGGGAAAGUCUAAUACACUAUCUUGCUAUAGGGACCUUCAAGAGUCGCCUUGGUGUUGCACUAUUGCCUUGGCCUAGCUCACCCUAC
rfam:Solanum lycopersicum cultivar Heinz 1706 chromosome 1, whole genome shotgun sequence.